AACGAACGCUGGCGGUAUGCUUAACACAUGCAAGUCGAACGAACAAAAUUGGGGCUUGCUCCAAUUUUAGUGAGUGGCAAACGGGUGAGUAACACGUGGGAAUCUACCUAUCAGUACGGAAUAACAUUUGGAAACAGAUGCUAAUACCGUAUAUUCUCCAAGGAGGAAAGAUUUAUCGCUGAUAGAUGAGCCCGCGCAAGAUUAGGUAGUUGGUAGGGUAAUGGCCUACCAAGCCGACGAUCUUUAGCUGGUCUGAGAGGAUGAUCAGCCAAACUGGGACUGGGACACGGCCCAGACUCCUACGGGAGGCAGCAGUGGGGAAUAUUGGACAAUGGGCGAAAGCCUGAUCCAGCAAUACCGCGUGAAUGAUGAAGGCCUUAGGGUUGUAAAGUUCUUUUAGUUGGAAAGAUAAUGACGGUACCAACAGAAAAAGCCCCGGCUAACUCCGUGCCAGCCGCCGCGGUAA
rnacentral:rRNA from 1 species